GGAGGGCUCAGGGCCAGCUCCGCCGCUUGGCCGCCCCGCCUCGGGCCUUUCCUCGCAGCCACUCGCGCCCGCAGACUAGCUAUCCAGGAGGUUCAGAGGAGCGAUGAUUGACCAUCAGGAAAACACCUAUAAAGAAAUGCCAUCAAAUGAUACCUACCCACAAACUGCAUGGAUCAGCAUAGAACAACAUAGUGGAGUCUACAUCAGCAGAUGCUACUGUGGAGCAGAUUAGAAGAGACAUGCAUACAGUCUGCCAUCCCGUACAAUGUCCUCCACCAGCUGUUCAUAAUCCUCUGCAUUGAUGAGAGGGAAAAAUCAAAGAGACAGUGAGGAAAGAAAGACAGUCAAUGAACAUAAGUGCCCACAGCUCCGGUGUAAUCCCUUUCAUCAUUUGGAAACCAUGGAAACUGCAGGAUGGGAAGAAGAAGCCUUUAAUUACUGAAAAUCACCAAUGCUGAGAUGACAUUACCAUGGGUAGCAAUUUUGGAUGAUUAAAGACUCCCUCCUCCUGUCCAUUUUAUUCUGUGGGUUUGUUGUUUUGUUUUAGAUUUUGCAUUGUUCAUUGUAUUUAUGUGUUUUAUGAUUUUAACUUUAAUUUUGUGAAUCAGCAGAGAACUUAGGCUAUGGGGCAGUACAGAAAUACAGUAAA